rnacentral:rRNA from 1 species
UACAGAGGGUGCAAGCGUUAAUCGGAAUUACUGGGCGUAAAGCGUGCGUAGUCGGUUAUUUAAGUCGGGUGUGAAAGCCCCGGGCUCAACCUGGGAAUUGCAUUCGAUACUGGAUAGCUAGAGUUCGGCAGAGGGAAGCGGAAUUUCCGGUGUAGCGGUGAAAUGCGUAGAUAUCGGGAAGAACACCAACGGCGAAAGCACUCUGCUGGGCCGAAAAACUGACACUGAUAGACGAAAGCUAGGGGAGCAAAUGGG